GACAGAGCAGAUACUCUGCAGCCUAUGUAUUACAGAAUUCUGAGACAUGUUUGUUACCUCUAAUCUUUGACCGUGUUUUUUCUUUUUCUUUUCCUUAUACAGGGACCUCAGGGCAGGUCGGGGUUGCCUGGAUUACCUGGAGCUGAUGGGCCUCCUGGUCAUCCCGGUAAGGAGGGCCCACCUGGAGAGAAAGGAGCCCAGGGUCCCUCUGGUCCACAGGGUCCUAUUGGUUAUCCUGGCCCUCGUGGUGUCAAGGGUGCCGACGGCGUUCGUGGUCUCAAGGGAGGGAAGGGAGAGAAGGGCGAGGAUGGUUUCCCAGGUUUCAAGGGU
rnacentral:lncRNA from 1 species